GUCUACUGCCAUACCACCCUGAAUGCGCCCGAUCUCUUCUGAUCUCGGAAGCUAUGGAUGGUUGGGCCUGGUUAGUACUUGGAUGGGAGACGACAUGGGAAUACCGAGUGCUGUAGGUU
ensembl:rRNA 5S_rRNA 5S ribosomal RNA